AUCAAUUUUUUUUCCGGCCAAACACUCUUUGCUCUCUCUCUCCUGUGUCUGCCCAAACGCGUCUCUUCAACUCCCUCUCUACACGUUCUCUCUCACAUUCUCGCCUCAAAAUCAAAAUAACCUGAUCUCUGCGAUCAUCAGCGGAAGCAGAAGAAAUGGAAACGACAACGGAAGCCACUGUUCUUAUAUUUCCCCUUCUUCAUCCUUCACCAACCGAUGCCCACUGACCGUCGUCGAUUACCUACAAUCAUCCGAUACCCCUUUGAUCGUAAAAAAAAAAAACUGUAUAAUGCUCUCUCUCAACGCCGCUCACCACUGAAGAGGAAGAUCAGCAAAUAGCAAAAACCCACAUCUCCUUGCGACGACCACCACUAUCGCCGGAGACCCAAACCCGAACCCCCUAUUUCCUAUCCUCCUCCCUCUUCUCUCAUCCUCUUUCAUCACUUUAGUCCUCUCCUCCUCAUUCCCUUCGAACUAGAAAUGUAAGAUUGUUUGUUUUGAUUUUGGUUGUUUUGGAAUCAGAAAUUACGAAAUCAUUGUUGUUUUGAUUGUUUGUUCUGUUGUUCAUCAUCGACACCCACCCUCACAAGCUAUGUUUACAAGAAGAUGAGAGGGGGUUUGUGGCAACUUCGGCAAUUAAUCACUCGCCGACUUGCUCAAGCUAAUAAGAAGGUCGUAACACGAUGAUGCUUUGCCACAGAAGCUGAACUGAAGAAGACAAUUCUGUAUGAUUUCCAUGUCUCAAAUGGUGGCAAGAUGGUCCCAUUUGCUGGAUGUAGCAUGCUUCAAUACAAGGACUCAAUUAUGGAAUCCACUCUGAAUUGUAAGGAAAACGGCAGCCUAUUUGAUGUCUCUCAUAUGCGUGGGCUAAGCCUCAAGGGGAAGGACUGUAUCUCAUUUGUUGAGAAUCUUCAAUAUAUUUUUGUCCAAUUAGGAUAUUUGGACGAUUCAAAAUUAUUUAAAUUACAAAAUAAUAGUUGCGAUGUAUCUAUAUGUACAUUUUCUAUUUUUUUACUUUUUUUUUUUUACUUUUUCAUUUUUUCAUACACCCUUCCAUGAUCCCAUAAAUGAUCUCAUGAUUUCACCUUCUUGUCUUUUUA